AACGAACGUUGGCGGCAGGCCUAACACAUGCAAGUCGAACGGACGUAGCAAUACGUUAGUGGCUCGCGGGAGAGUAAAGCGUGGGAACAUACCUUUUGGUUCGGGAUAACAUCGGGAAACUGAUGCUAAUACCGGACAAGCCCUUCGGGGGAAAGAUUUAUUGCCGAAAGAUGGGCACGCGUUGGAUUAGCUAGUAGGUGAGGUUAUGGCUCACCAAGUCAACAAUCCAUAGGUAGUCUGAGAGGAUGAUCAGCCUCAAUGGGACUGAAACACGGCCCAGACUCCUACGGGAGGCAUCAGUGGGAAAUAUUGGACAAUGGGGGAACCCCUGAUCCAUCCAUGCCGCGUGAAUGAUGAUUUCCUUCGGGUUGUAAAGUUCUUUUGGUGAAGACGAUGAUGACGGUACCCACAGAAUAAGCUCCGGCUAACUUCGUGCCAGCCGCCGCGGUAA
rnacentral:rRNA from 1 species